CGGACGUGCAGGCUGAAACUCGCCUGCACGAAGUUGGAAUUGCUAGUAAUCGCGGAUCAGCAUGCCGCGGUGAAUACGUUCCCGGGUCUUGUACACACCGCCCGUCACACCAUGGGAGCUGGUAACACCCGAAGUCAGUAGUCUAACCGCAAGGAGGACGCUGCCGAAGGUGGGAUUAGCGACUGGGGUGAAGUCGUAACAAGGUACC
rnacentral:rRNA from 1 species